UGGGAAUUGAACUCAGGACCUCUGGAAGAACAGCCAGUGCUCUUAACCUCUGAGCCAUCUCUCCAGCCCACAUGAGUCACUUCUUCAGGACACCCUGAAAGUGUGCUGAGGGUAGACCUUAGCCAUCACAUCAGAACACCCAUGGGAAGUGAAGUUCUAAGGCCCAUGAGGACUAGAGAGCUAGCGUACAGAAGUGUGUGUGGACGCCCAGAGCCUUUAUCCCUGCCGGAGCAACAGCAGGCCGCUCACUCGCCUGCGCUCCAUUGUAUCCCUCAGCAGCGUUUCCAGAAGACUUGUUUCCUGUUGGUCGGAGUCGGACUUACACAGCAAUGGCUCCUUCACACUUGGGGUUGCUCCUUUUGGACUCAUUCUUGGGUCCGUGGUACUGCAGGGGCCGUGAAGGACCACAUGCACUGUGGGAUCCCGUGGGCUGACAUUGCCUCAUGGUAUCUAAGUCAUUUGUUUGUAAGUGCUUACUCUAGUGUUUGCACAGUGACAAGAGAACCAUCCCAUGAUACAUUGCUCAGAGUCGUCUCUGUCAUGAAGUGCUGGCUGGCUGUAAUUAGAUUCUGAGUGUUUCCCAGAAUACAUCGAAAGGUCCCAGAUCAUUCCCUUUGAAGUGUUUUUCCUUAUUAUCAUUUGGCAAACUCAACAAUGAUUAGAAGCUAAAAUCUAGCAAAUUUCACCUCCUAAAUAAUUUUGAAGCGGCUGUGAUAUUCUAAAGAAAUCUGAAAAAGGUGUGAUUUUUUUUAAUACACAAGGCUUUCAAUAAAACAAUAUGCCACUAGGUUUCAUAUUUCUAGUCUAAAUGCCAUUUGACUUUUCCCAUGUGUAGUGAUUACAGGUAUUAUCUCUCUAUACACAUACAUAUGCAUUUACAUGUGCUCAUAUGUAUAAAUAUUAUACACGGCAUAGCAAUAUAUACUGUGAAAGGUCAACAUUGAAACAACCUAGUGGGAUGCUUCUCAUUGGCUUUAUUUGAUCCUAAAAUUGGGCCACAACUUAACUCGGUAGAGAGGGUGGGUGUUGUAACGGGCAGACCGGAAGAGGCUGGAUGGUCUGGACAGAGAAAGGUGGAGAAAAACAGGAGGAAAAGAACAGAAACCAUGCCGACCAUUUCAGAGCGUGUGUGUGAGGACCCAGGUUCAGUUCCUGGCCCUGUAAGAUGAGCCCAUAUCAACGGCAACACGAAUUAUAUUCUUGGUAAGGCAGAAACAGAACAAUAAAAAUACAUUCUUCCUGGCUGUUUUUGGGGUAAGGAUUAACCAGGGAACUUUGCCAUCCUGAGGAUUGAAAUGGUAAGCUUGGCUGUAUUCCCGCUAAUCCUAAUCAUUUCUCAGGACACACAAACAGCUUGGUUUGAGUUUAGUGAGGGGAUUUUUAGCAGCAGUGAUUCCAUUUUGAUUUCUAGCCUUGCAUAUGGGGGUCCAGUAGAGGAUCGCAGUCUUUAGCAAGGACCCCUUUUGAUUUGGAUUUAGUAAUAUUGUGGUGUUAUUGUGUACUAGUGAUACAGCGGUCUAUCAAAAUCAGUGGGGGACAGGUUGAGUUAGGCAGGCACUGCUAGAGACACUAUUAAAUCACACGGGCUGCUACAGCAGAACUUCAUGUGUAUUUUAGAGAGCUUGAUUUUUAUUCAAGGUAGAAGGAAAGUUUGGGUUUAAGAAGCAGAGUUUUUUUGUUUUUAUAGCAACAACAUUGUUAAGGCAGAGGUGUUUGCUGGUGAAGACUCAGGUUUGCUUUUCACGUUUUUCUUUUUUUAGAUCAGUUUUUGACUUUCACUCCCUGCAUCACUAUUCUGUGCAUGCACACAUGCACCUGUACGUGUGUGCCUGUGUGGUAGGGCAGCACUGAUGGUGGUGGCGAUGCCUGCGUGGGUGCGUAUGGAGGCUAGAGGUCACUAGAGGUCACGGUCGGAUGUCUUCUUCAGUCGUUUCUCCACAUUACUUUUGAGACAGGGUCUCUCACUCAACUUGAAACUCACCACUUUAGUCGGACCGGCUGGCUACGGAGUCUCCAGGUUCACCUGUCUCUGCUCCAGCAGGGCUAGGGUCACAGGUAUACAUACCUAGGCCGCUGGACUUGUGUGUGAGUGCAGGGAAUCCAAACCGAGGGCCUCCUACUGGCUGCAGGGAGCACUUUCCCCACUGAGCAAGCGCCCCAGCCUCUGCGUCCAGCUCUGUGGCCUUUGUGAAUGUAAUUCAUGAGGUGGGGUCUUCCACGUCACCGCAGCUCUGAGCUAAGGCAUCAUCAGAACCCCCUCCAAAAGCCUUGAGGUGCGGAUCCUGUUAGGACUUUCCGGAACAUCUAUCAUGGGCUGGGGCUGUAGCUCUGUGGUAGAGCACUUACCUAGCCCAUGAGAAGUCACAAGUUCAUUCUUAGCCUUGUCAAGCAAACAAAACCAAACUGCAGGCACGCUGCCGCCGCAAAGAGUGCUGGGAAUCUUGGGUUUGAGCUGGAGGCUUUUGGACCAUGUGACUCCUUGCUUGAAGGUCCAUGAUGGUGUCAUAGCCCUGUUUAUAUGCUGGCUGCACGAUUAGCCUUGGGUAGGACCCAGGGUGCGUUUGAGUCACACCGGCUACCAUCGCUGCAACGGUGCCUCGGUUCCUUCUCUAGUCUUGACUUUGUCGUUUGCCUUUUUCGAAGUGACGGACUCACUCGCUGUGUGUCACUCACUCGCCCGAGGCUUUCCUAUGAUGCACAGUGGGGGCGCGACAGAGAUGAAAUGCAGACUCCACCCUUGAAAACUGAGGGCUCCUGGAGUGAAAGGCAGGCAAGUCCAGCGCAGCGGAACAACCGCUGUAACAGAGGUCCCGCGGUCAGAAGCAAAGAAACGCCCGCUUAAACCUGUGCAGGGAAUCCCGGGGAAGGCCCUGGUAGACUGAGAUGUGGCUUAGCAAAAACGGGAAGCAAUUUUCCAAAUGAAAGGAAGGCUGGAGGGCAGGGAAUUGGAGUCCAGGGAGCUGAGGCUGGCUUCCUUCAGGAGAAGCAAGCUGUGCAGAACGGCGGUGGUUUGACACACAUUGUAGGCGGAAGGGCGCAGAACGAAGUGGAACGGGCAGCGUUAAGCCCUCCCCGGGCUGCGUCUCUCGCAUAUGAUUUAUCAGUCUACUUGGGUUUAAAACUUGGUACUUACCUUUUGGAGUAGUGGGAUUAUGGUAGAUGGGUGGGCUCAUUUUUCUUUGCUACAGUUUCUCUGUAAAAUUGGAAGAAUAUAAGCAAGAGUGGCAACCUUAUGAUAUGUGUAUUGUGAUUAGGUGAGUUAAUGUUUAUAAGUUCUAACAGAACUGCUUGGCAUAUAGCUGUCCUUAUAUAAAUGCUGGCAGUGAUCAAGGUGACGGUGACGCUGAUGAAGGUAAUGUGUCACUCACCGGGGUCCCCAAGGGAGGUAGCACAGGUGGAGAUGACAUGGCACUGUCCAUUUCUGGACUGCUGGGACUGAGGAGUUGGACAGAAAGGGAAGUCAAUCUCAGAUUCUCCUGAGUGUGACCUUGACAGCACAUUCAUAAUGAGGUAUUCAGAGCACCAGGGAUGUCCCUGUCCAGGAGCAAAGGGAACAAGGCAAUGUCCACGAUGAGCUGGGGUUUCUCUACAAUGAGUUCUCAGAUGAGAACAUACACCAGACACAUCCGAAGGAGUUACAACAGGCCAUGUUCUACUCCCGGAUCUGUGAUUCGCUACAUCUGCUGAGGGGUCCACAAUUCGGCCUUUUCUAACAUGUUCCGGAGUGAUGCUCUGGUCUAGAGCCCACACUUGGAGAUUGCCUGCUCUCUUGCCUCAGGCACUGGGGGAGGAGACCCAGGACUCUUGAUUUCCUUCUGUUUUCCACAUCCUCUGCCCAGCAGUCUGGAUGCCCUCCCUUUUUCAUAGGCACCCACUCUGCAGGCUCCCAGGGCACAUAUGCUGCUCAGAUUUCCUUUCUAUAUUUGUAUAAACAGGAGAUUGGACCAAAUCCCUGGGUCUCCUGAAUCAGAAUUCUCCAUUUGUGCCCUGGUGAGAGAGAUGAGGACAAAGAAGCUGGUCCCUGGCCAGCCUGUCAUCCAAUUCUCUGUCACUGGCGUCACUUAGGAUGUGGCUCCGACCACGUGGCAUGCUCACUGGCUGCACCUGUCGGCAGCACUGGGCUGGAGGAUGAGUACCUGGGAUGAACGCCUGAUGGAAAUGACUGGGCAGGUCUUGCGGUGAAAUAGUACACUCUCAACCCUGGACUCAGCAGGCCAUUUUGAUGGUGAG